rnacentral:rRNA from 1 species
GAUGAACGCUGGCGGCGUGCCUAAUACAUGCAAGUCGAGCGAACAGAUAAGGAGCUUGCUCCUUUGACGUUAGCGGCGGACGGGUGGGUAACACGUGGAUAACCUACCUAUAAGACUGGGAUAACUUCGGGAAACCGGAGCUAAUACCGGAUAACAUAUUGAACCGCAUGGUUCAAUAGUGAAAGGCGGCUUUGCUGUCACUUAUAGAUGGAUCCGCGCCGUAUUAGCUAGUUGGUAAGGUAACGGCUUACCAAGGCAACGAUACGUAGCCGACCUGAGAGGGUGAUCGGCCACACUGGAACUGAGACACGGUCCAGACUCCUACGGGAGGCAGCAGUAGGGAAUCUUCCGCAAUGGGCGAAAGCCUGACGGAGCAACGCCGCGUGAGUGAUGAAGGUCUUCGGAUCGUAAAACUCUGUUAUCAGGGAAGAACAAAUGUGUAAGUAACUGUGCACAUCUUGACGGUACCUGAUCAGAAAGCCACGGCUAACUACGUG